rnacentral:rRNA from 1 species
AGUGAACGCUGGCGGUAGGCCUAACACAUGCAAGUCGAACGGCAGCACAGUAAGAGCUUGCUCUUACGGGUGGCGAGUGGCGGACGGGUGAGGAAUACAUCGGAAUCUACUUUUUCGUGGGGGAUAACGUAGGGAAACUUACGCUAAUACCGCAUACGACCUACGGGUGAAAGCAGGGGAUCUUCGGACCUUGCGCGAUUGAAUGAGCCGAUGUCGGAUUAGCUAGUUGGCGGGGUAAAGGCCCACCAAGGCGACGAUCCGUAGCUGGUCUGAGAGGAUGAUCAGCCACACUGGAACUGAGACACGGUCCGAACUCCUAAGGGGGGCAGCAGUGGGGAAUAUUGGACAAUGGGCGCAAGCCUGAUCCAGCCAUACCGCGUGCGUGAAGAAGGCCUUCGGGUUGUAAAGCCCUUUUGUUGGGAAAGAAAAGCAGCAGGUUAAUACCCCGCUGUUCUGACGGUACCCAAAGAAUAAGCACCGGCUAACUUCGUG